CAACAAGGGAUGAAUUGUGCAGGUAUAAGUAACAGCUUUAUCUCCCCUCAAACCUAUCUUUCCACAGUUUAUAGCAAUGGACUGGGAGCUGGAACCUUUCCUGAGGUCAGGGCCCAGCAAGCAGGUUUCCCUGGGGCUGAAAGUUAUCCAGCCAAUAACUACAGCAAUGGUGGGGCCAGCUCCUUUGGUCCUCAGGGAGUCCCCUUUCUCCCUGAAGGUUCAGACUCUGGGGCCAAGACUGCUAAGAAUGACUAUGGAAAUGGGGUAGGUGUAGGCUCCUACCCUGCAGAUGGAAGCCCACCAGGUGGGCCAGAUGUGAAACACAGCUUCAACAGCUUCCUGGGAAAUGGCUAUGGAGGUCACUGUCCUCCAGGGAAAUGUUGAGCCUAAAGGGAUCCCUCCGACUUCCCCAACGUGAAGAUCUUCAGGGGAGCUCGAAGCCUAAGACCUGGCCACCUUACUGCUGUCAGGCUUUUUGGAAAAAACCAGGCUCCUCGGGAGGGGAGUCUCCCCUCUGCCCCAUCAGGGUCCUUCUUUGGUCCUUUACCCCAGUCUUAUAAGGGGCCCCUCAUGGCAGAGAGGAGGAGGAGGAGAUCAUGGGCCUGUUAAUAAAAG
rnacentral:lncRNA from 1 species